GAAAAACUUGCAAGGCAAAUCAAUUGCUACAGAAAGAGCCAGGAUUCAUCUGCGAGGGACAUGACAGUUGAGGAGAUUGCACAAGGCUUUGUGAAUGUUGCCAAUGAGACCAUGUGUCGUCCAAUACGACAGUUGACAGAAAUGAAGGGACAUGAAACAAGCAACCAUGCGCUUGCUUGCUUUGGAGGUGCAGGUCCUCAACAUUCCUGUGCCAUUGCUAGAUCACUUGGAAUGAAGGAGGUUCUUAUUCACAGGUUAUGUGGCAUCUUAAGUGCAUAUGGUAUGGGGUUAGCUGAUGUGGUAGAAGAGGCACAAGAGCCAUAUUCAGCUGUUUAUGGUCCUGAUUCUGUGAUUGAAGCCUGUCGCAGAGAAACUAUCUUGCUGAAGCAGGUGAAGUCAAAGCUGCAUGAGCAAGGGUUUGGAGAAGCAAGUGUCACCAGUGAAACAUACUUAAACUUAAGGUACGAGGGAACAGACACCGCAAUCAUGGUAAAGAGACCAAUCAAUGAUGAUGGAUCAGGAGGUGAUUAUGCUGCUGAAUUUGUCAAGUUGUUCCAACGGGAAUAUGGAUUUAAACUUCAAAACAGGAGUAUAGUUAUAUGUGAUGUUAGGGUUCGCGGUGUUGGAGUCACUAAUAUAUUGAAGCCUCGAGCCCUAGAUUCUGCCCCUGGUGCCCCUAAAAUUGAAAGUCACUACAAGGUAUACUUUGAGAGUGGAUGGAAUGACACUCCUUUGUUCAAGCUUGAAAAUUUGGCAUAUGGGCAUGUUAUUCCUG
rnacentral:misc_RNA from 1 species